GAAGUUCCUGACGUGUGCUAAUGAGGACAAGGGAUGAUGGACAAAGGGGUGAGUUCAUUUCAGUCCUGCCACCAAUACUUUGGAUCUCACCCCUGGUAUGAACUAGCUACCUGGAUCUCUGUACAUCACUUCCUAACUGAGCCCUGAAUAUAAUCAUCUUCCUGUGUCCUCUCAAAUGCCUGCAUGCCUGGAGGCGCAUCCAUUCCGUGAUCAAACAGGAAGUACACAGUCAGGUGCGGAGAGGAAACCUGGUGUUUGUCUUUGUACUGGAG
ensembl:lncRNA